UGGGGAAUAUUGGGCAAUGGGCGCAAGCCUGACCCAGCCACGCCGCGUGAGUGAUGAAGGCCUUCGGGUCGUAAAGCUCUGUGGGGAGGGACGAAACUACAUUGGCUAAUAUCCAAUGGACUGACGGUACCUCCUUAGCAAGCACCGGCUAACUCCGUGCCAGCAGCCGCGGUAAUACGGAGGGUGCAAACGUUGCUCGGAAUCAUUGGGCGUAAAGCGCACGUAGGCGGUCCAGCAAGUCGGGUGUGAAAGCCCUCGGCUUAACCGAGGAAGUGCAUUCGAAACUACUGGACUUGAAUACUGGAGAGGAUCGCGGAAUUCCCGGUGUAGAGGUGAAAUUCGUAGAUAUCGGGAGGAACACCAGUGGCGAAGGCGGCGAUCUGGACAGAUAUUGACGCUGAGGUGCGAAAGCGUGGGGAGCAAACAGG
rnacentral:rRNA from 1 species